GAAGGCUCGUCCGCUCAGGGUUAGUCGGGACCUAAGCCGAGGCCGAUAGGCGUAGGCGAUGGACAACAGGUAGAGAUUCCUGUACCAGUGCUAAUUGUUUAACCGAUGGGGUGACACAGAAGGAUAGGGAAUCGCACGAAUGGAAAUGUGCGUCCAAGCAGUGAGUGUGAGAAGUAGGCAAAUCCGCUUCUCGCGAAGCAUGAGCUGUGAUGGGGAAGGAAAUUAAGUACGGAAGUUCCUGAUUUCACGCUGUCAAGAAAAGCCUCUAGGAAGAGUAGUACUGCCCGUACCGCAAACCGACACAGGUAGAUGAGGAGAGAAUCCUAAGGUGAGCGAGAGAACUCUCGUUAAGGAACUCGGCAAAAUGACCCCGUAACUUCGGGAGAAGGGGUGCUCUAUUAGGGUGCAAGCCCGAGAGAGCCGCAGUGAAUAGGCCCAGGCGACUGUUUAGCAAAAACACAGGUCUCUGCAAAACCGUAAGGUGACGUAUAGGGGCUGACGCCUGCCCGGUGCUGGAAGGUUAAGAGGAGUGCUUAGCUUCGGCGAAGGUACGAAUUGAAGCCCCAGUAAACGGCGGCCGUAACUAUAACGGUCCUAAGGUAGCGAAAUUCCUUGUCGGGUAAGUUCCGACCCGCACGAAAGGCGCAACGAUCUGGGCACUGUCUCAACGAGAGACUCGGUGAAAUUAUAGUACCUGUGAAGAUGCAGGUUACCCGCGACAGGACGGAAAGACCCCGUGGAGCUUUACUGCAACCUGAUAUGGAAUGUUUGUACCGCUUGUACAGGAUAGGUAGGAG
rnacentral:rRNA from 1 species